rnacentral:rRNA from 1 species
AUUGAACGCUGGCGGCAUGCCUUACACAUGCAAGUCGAACGGCAGCACGGGUGCUUGCACCUAGUGGCGAGUGGCGGACGGGUGAGUCAUCCAUAGGAACAUGUCCUGGAGCGGGGGAGAGCCCGGCGAAAGCCGGAUUAAUACCGCAUACGAUCUACGGAUGAAAGCGGGGGACCUUCGGGCCUCGCCCUCUCGCGUUGGCCGAUGUCUGAUUAGGUAGUUGGUGGGGUAAAGGCCUACCAAGGCGACGAUCAGUAGCUGGUCUGAGAGGACGACCAGCCACACUGGGACUGAGACACGGCCCAGACUCCUACGGGAGGCAGCAGUGGGGAAUUUUGGACAAUGGGCGAAAGCCUGAUCCAGCAAUGCCGCGUGUGUGAAGAAGGCCUUCGGGUUGUAAAGCACUUUUGUCCGGAAAGAAAACCUUGUCCCUAAUACGGUCGGGGGAUGACGGUACCGGAAGAAUAAGCACUGGCUAACUACGUG